rnacentral:lncRNA from 1 species
AGAGAUUCUGAUUUAAUUGGGAACUGGGUUUUGAUAGUUUUAAAAGUUCCCCAGGUGACUCCAGUAUUCAGUCAAAGUUGUGGACCUUUAGCUACAUACUUAGCCUAGUGUCUCUAUUGUUCCAACUGGUGCCAUUGUUUGAUGGGAGAAAGCCCAGGGACAUGAAAAGAAAGAAGUCCACUGCCUUGAUCGUCUCAAUCAGCGAGCGCUGGAAAGGACACCCAGGAGACUAAGAUACUCGGUGGUGCACAUAGAGGUAGCUCCCUACUGCCUCCUUGAUCGUCACGGAAGCACACCAGAAGUUUUGUCUUAGCAGCCCACGCAGAGUGAAGAAUCCUCCAGGUCAGAGGAAUGCAAGAAUGAAGAGCGGCAUAAGCCCUCCAAAGAGAACAGAGCUAUCGGCAGCCUGAUGUGUUUUCAAAUUGAAAGCUGGGUAGUGCUUUUUCUUUUUUAGAUAUACACUUUGCUAUAAAAUAAAAUGCCACAAUCAACAGUUGGAUUUCACUGUUAUAACUUGUUCAGUUCCUUUAAAUUAAAUUGUGGUUAAAACC